AUACGGAAGGUCCGGGCGUUAUCCGGAUUUAUUGGGUUUAAAGGGAGCGCAGGCGGAGAUGCAAGCGUGACGUCAAAUUUCGGGGCUCAACCCCGUCUCGCGUCGCGAACUGCGUCCCUUGGUUGCGGGAAGGGGAGGCGGAACUCGUGGUGUAGCGGUGAAAUGCAUAGAUAUCCCGAAGAACUCCGAUCGCGAAGGCAGCCUUCCGGCCCGUCAACGACGCUCAUGCUCGAAGGUGCGGGUAUCAAACAGGAUUAGAUACCCUGGUAGUCCGCACAGUAAACGAUGGACACCCGCGGUUUGGCCUGUAUGGCUGAGCCGCCAAGCGAAAGCGUUAAGUGUCCCACCUGGGGAGUACGCCGGCAACGGUGAAACUCAAAUGAAUUGACGGGG
rnacentral:rRNA from 1 species